rnacentral:lncRNA from 1 species
CCUAACUUCUGCAAUUUUUCCAUUUAAAGGUAUCUAUUGCUUGAGCAAAUUAAAAAUCGAAUUUGGGUGACAUGAGGUGAAGAUCCAAUACCAAAUUUAUUUAGGAAAGCAGUACUGAAUUUGUCUAACGUCCUGAAUUUGUGAUUAUGGAUCUGGAAAAACAUCAGAGGUUCACCGCUCAACAAGCUGGUCAAUUGCGGUCACCACAUAUUCCAAUUUACAUCCAUUUCAUUCAAAACAAUCUGCCACUGACCUUGAUUCCUUUUUACUCUCUACGUAAUUCCAGAAUUGUUUAAUAUUGGAUUUAAUGUUGCAUUGUAAUGAGUCUAUGUACCUCUGAUAAGCUAUAUUUAUUCCUGAUUUUAUUGAUGCUCUU